CUUUUCUUGGUGUCUAAGGUUAAUAUACCGAAAGAUAUAGAAUUGGUUUUGGACUAUGGAUAGACCAAGAGAGAUAGGAUUCUAGGAAACCCUUGAAUGACCGGAUAACUCUGUCGCUUCUAAAUUAAAUGUAAAAUGUCAAUUAUCAAUUGAGGCUAUAAAUUGUACAUGUACAGUGACAAAUGAUAACAGUGUGAAUGUGAAAAAUUGUGAGCUCUGCACAUCUACCUCAAGCAAUUUUCGUGCUAAUGGCAGAAUAAAGUAAUUAAAAUAGCUGCCAAGGGGGAAAUCAUCAGAAAUUUAUGUAAAGAGGAACCUCCUAAAAGAAAAGACAAUUCUGAAACAAAAUCAACUAAUGUACAAAAGAUUGAUGAAACUCAUCAACAAAGGACAAAC